AAGCAGACUGAACCUACAGAGACGGAC
rnacentral:piRNA from 1 species